AUACGGAGGGUGCAAGCGUUACUCGGAAUCACUGGGCGUAAAGGAUGCGUAGGCGGAUAAUCAAGUCAAAAGUGAAAUCCUACAGCUUAACUGUAGAACUGCUUUCGAAACUGGUUAUCUAGAAUAUGGAAGAGGCAGAUGGAAUUAGUGGUGUAGGGGUAAAAUCCGUAGAGAUCACUAGGAAUACCGAUUGCGAAGGCGAUCUGCUGGGACAUUAUUGACGCUGAGGCAUGAAAGCGUGGGAGCAAACAGGAUUAGAUACCCUAGUAGUCC
rnacentral:rRNA from 1 species